UUAAUUCUUUUAUUAAUCUGCUUUUGAUUCUUUCAUCAAUUUGCUUUUGAUUCUUUCAUUUUGGUAUAGCAUUUCUCUCCCUUUUUGACAUCAUCAACAAAAGAUUGUUUACUCCCCCUUUUUCUUUGAAUACAUUUUCUCUUUUUCUUUCUUUUGAUGAAAAUAAUUUUACUAAUACUACUUUUGUUUACUCCCCCUGAAUACAACAAACAUAAAAGAUAUACCAUUGGAUAUCAUGGAUAGCAUAUAUUACAAUUCAUAAUAUCUUAAGCAUGCGCAUAAUUGAAAGCAACUAAAUUUGAAGGUCAUACAUUAAAAGUCAAAGAGUAGAUAUAUAAUCAAAAAGUGACUGAUACCACAUAGUGGUUCCAAUACAAACACCAAAAUAUAAAAGUUAAUUUGUCAACAUCAUUACAUGGCCCAAAAGAUAGAUCCUAGAAAAAGACAAAAGACA
rnacentral:lncRNA from 1 species